rnacentral:lncRNA from 1 species
GGAAUAUCAAGAAAUUGGAAUUGAUUAUCCUUUAGAAGAUCAGGAGUUAAAAAGUGCAGGGGAAAAUAUUUACAAUGAAUAGCAAAUACCUGGGAAAAUAAAAAAUCUCAUUAUUGGAAGCAGAAAAUACUACCACGGCAAAAUGGGGUGAAAUGGAAAGAAAUUAAGUCUUUGAGAAACAUGAAGGAAGAACUAAAAAGACAUUUGACUUCAAUGCUGUUUUUAAUAUUUCAGUAUAAGAUAUUUAUGUAGAAAACUCUUAAGGAAUUACUAGAUGUUAUCUCAAAGAGUGUUUCUUCACUGAAAUGUUUUGCAAUUUUGAUCUUGUUGUAUUAAAGAAAGAUAGAGGGAAAAAAUGAGAAUAAAAUUGACAAAAUAUUACUUUAUUAUUCAACUCUUAUCCCAUAGACUGAAGAGCAGAAUUGUGUUUUUCCUUUCCUUG